UACGUAGGUGGCAAGCGUUGUCCGGAUUUAUUGGGCGUACAGGGCGCGCAGGCGGUUCGUUUAGUCCGAGGUGAAAUCUCCUGGCUCAACUGGGAGAGGUCUUCGGAUACUGGCGGGCUUGAGGAGAGCAGAGGUGAGUGGAAUGCUGGGUGUAGUGGUGAAAUGCGUAGAUAUCCAGCGGAACACCAGUGGCGAAGGCGGCUCACUGGGCUCCACCUGACGCUGAGGCGCGAAAGCGUGGGGAGCGAACCGG
rnacentral:rRNA from 1 species